CUGGCCUGGGAGCGGCUCGGUCGGCUCGUUUUCACACAAACUAUUUCCAAAGCGGGGAUCAGAGGAGAGCUUUUUCUCUUUUUUUUUUCUUUUCUUUUCUUUUUCUGUCAGGGAGGUGGAAUCCGUCCUGGGCAGGAGAGGCGGGGUUCCGACUCACCAGGCCUCGCUCGGUAGAAAUGAGUCAGUCUGAGUCUGAGAGCACGUUUUCUCUGCUGAGUAAUAGCUCCGCAGACGGAGAGAGCCAACUCGGUGGAGGACGAGAAGAAAAAAACUAAAACUCUGCAGUCAUAGUGACCAGGUUACCACGGCAACUAAACGCAGCAGGGUUUUUUUUUUUCCGAGUGAGUGGUCCCUUCCCGGUGCUCGAUCUGAAAUAAUUACACCGUGAAGGAGCUUGAAGCCAUUUUCAUUUCAUUUGGAUUGCAAAGCAGCAGAAAAGCAGGCCGCUGUGGAUAGACUCCCUCCGUGCGUCUACUUUCCUCCAUCAUCAACGCACUCGUUUGUACCACCAGCAGGAAGAAAAAGAAGAAGAAGAAAAGAUGAAGUGUGUGGAAAAUACAGUGACGCUUCUACACCUGAUGUGGAAGAGCACUGGCGCCAUCUGCUGGAGAAAUGUUUCUACAUGAAAUAAAUUUUGUUCUCCAAAACUCCAA